CCUACGGGUGGCAGCAGUGGGGAAUAUUGGACAAUGGGCGAAAGCCUGAUCCAGCCAUGCCGCGUGUGUGAAGAAGGCCUUCGGGUUGUAAAGCACUUUCAGUGGGGAAGAAAGCCUUGGGGCUAAUACCCUCGAGGAAGGACAUCACCCACAGAAGAAGCACCGGCUAACUCCGUGCCAGCAGCCGCGGUAAUACGGAGGGUGCGAGCGUUAAUCGGAAUUACUGGGCGUAAAGCGCGCGUAGGCGGUCUGAUAAGCCGGUUGUGAAAGCCCCGGGCUCAACCUGGGAACGGCAUCCGGAACUGUCAGGCUAGAGUGCAGGAGAGGAAGGUAGAAUUCCCGGUGUAGCGGUGAAAUGCGUAGAGAUCGGGAGGAAUACCAGUGGCGAAGGCGGCCUUCUGGACUGACACUGACGCUGAGGUGCGAAAGCGUGGAUAGCAAACAGGAUUAGAUACCCGAGUAGUC
rnacentral:rRNA from 1 species